GGCGAAUUUCCUAAAGGAGGGCGAAAUUCCUAGGAUUUUCGCCCCCCCGGGGGGGGGGGCGAUAUUCCUAGGAAUUUCGCCCCCGGGGAGAAAAUGU